rnacentral:rRNA from 1 species
GACGAACCUGACAAACGUUAUUCGGAAUUACUGGGCUUAAAGGGUGCGUAGGCGGCGUAGCAAGUUGGGUGUGAAAUCCCUCGGCUCAACCGAGGAACUGCGCUCAAUACUGCUAUGCUCGAGGGAGACAGAGGUGAGCGGAACUUAGGGUGGAGCGGUGAAAUGCGUUGAUAUCCUAAGGAACACCGGUAGCGAAAGCGGCUCACUGGGUCUUUUCUGACGCUGAGGCACGAAAGCUAGGGUAGCGAAC